rnacentral:rRNA from 1 species
GAUGAACGCUGGCGGCGUGCUUAACACAUGCAAGUCGAACGGUGAAGCCAAGCUUGCUUGGUGGAUCAGUGGCGAACGGGUGAGUAACACGUGAGCAACCUGCCCUGGACUCUGGGAUAAGCGCUGGAAACGGCGUCUAAUACUGGAUAUGAGCCUCUUCCGCAUGGUGGGGGUUGGAAAGAUUUUUUGGUCUGGGAUGGGCUCGCGGCCUAUCAGCUUGUUGGUGAGGUAAUGGCUCACCAAGGCGUCGACGGGUAGCCGGCCUGAGAGGGUGACCGGCCACACUGGGACGGAGACACGGCCCAGACUCCUACGGGAGGCAGCAGUGGGGAAUAUUGCACAAUGGGCGAAGGCCUGAUGCAGCAACGCCGCGUGAGGGAUGACGGCCUUCGGGUGGUAAACCUCUUUUAGCAGGGAAGAAGCGAAAGUGACGGAACCGGCAGAAAAAGCGCCGGCUAACUACGU